rnacentral:lncRNA from 1 species
ACGCUGUCCAUGGCGGUUCGCCCAGCGCCAGUUGCGGCAUUUCUAACGCAGCCCCGGAUUUAAUCAGGCUCGAAUAAUCCGGUGUCAAAGCAUUUGGUCAUCGAGAGAGGGAAAAAAAUCACGUCGGUCCGCCAUCCCCCUUUUCUUGCAGGUCCCGAAAUUUGGGGCCGAGGACCGGGCCAUGGGCAGGGGCUGUGGGAGGGACGUCACGGCCACGUCGGAGGUUGAUACAGGAUGGAACCAGGUACUUGUCCUCCGGCGACUUGAUUCAGGACAUGGCCCUCUUUUUUUGAGUGGGCAUAUUGGCGGCCCGGUUGGCGGUGUGGGUCACCUGCAAGGCUCUGUGGACCAGUCUCCAGCCACUCUAUCUGGCGGCAGCUCCUCUUUCACGUGUUUUUGAGAACAAGCCGAGGAUAGUACAGCCUUUAGGCCUCCGGAUUCAAAGAAUGCCUGCAUCCCUGCAGCUGCACUCCCUGAGCGUAGCUUGAUGUCGAGAGUUCGAAGCAUUGCUCCUUGGAAGGCGGUGCACUAUACCUGUGACUGCACGCAGGCAAAGCACAAUAAACAAUAUGUUGCGCCA